GUUAAUAACUCAAAUCAUAUUUUGGUCUGACUUUAUACCUACAGGUCUCGUUGAUGGGAAUGAUGUCACUCAGAGUCCCACAAUACUCUAUGAACCAAAAGACAAGGAUGCUCAGAUCAGCUGCAGUCAUACUAUGGCAUCAAGCUACUUCCAGAUGUACUGGUACAGACAACUACCAGGAGAGGGAAUGAAACAGGUAUUAUAUAUUACUACAACUAACAAACCUGAGUAUUCAGGGGGAUUCAGUGAAGACAAAUUCUCCGCCACCAAGACUGUAGCUGAGAGUGGAUCCUUCACAGUGAAGAAGUUGGAGACAGGAGACAGUGGAAUGUACUUCUGUGCUGUGAGUCAACACAGUGAUACAGAGGACAAGUACAGCUGUACAAAAACCCCAGUCAGUAUUGUAAUAGGAUAUAAUAUAAUACAAAUAGAUGAAGGUCUCAUCGUGUACUGUAGGGGGACCUCUAACUCUACUUCUAAUAAUGUCUGAUGGUUUCAUUCUCAUCAUCACAUGUCCAUAGUAGUUCACUAUAGAGAGAAUAGGGAGUUAUUUGGGAUGGACACAUACAUCUGACACUCCCACUAGCUGACAUCACAUCUGUGUAUCUGAAAACCCUUUCACCUCAUCCAUGUGACUCGCAUGUCUCUCCAGAAUCAUCAACAUGAUCAAUCUUCUCAUACAUGUAGUAACUCUACUACUAUGGGUGACAGGUCUUACUGAUGGGAGUGAUGUUACUCAGAGCCCCUUCUUACUCCAGGGACUGAAAGACAGUGAUGUUCAGAUUAACUGUAGUCAUACUAAAGGAGCUGACUAUGCACAAAUGUAUUGGUACAGACAACGUCCAGGAGAAGGAAUCAAACAAAUAGUUUAUACAGCUACUUAUGGUACUCCAGACUAUGGCGAAUUCAGUAAAGAGAAAUAUUCAGUUGUCAAGACAGUUGUACAGAGUGGAUCUUUCACAGUGAAGAAGUUGGAGACAGGAGACAGUGGAAUGUACUUCUGUGCUGUGAGUAAACACAGAGAUACAGAGGACAAGUACACCUGUACAAAAACCCCAAUCAGUGUUGUAAUAGGUUAUACUAUAAU
rnacentral:lncRNA from 1 species